rnacentral:rRNA from 1 species
GAGGGGGGGGGGCUUAACCAUGCAGUCGGAGCGGGGAGGGUAGCUUGCUACCUGACCUAGCGGCGGACGGGUGAGUAAUGCUUAGGAAUCUGCCUAUUAGUGGGGGACAACAUUCCGAAAGGAAUGCUAAUACCGCAUACGCCCUACGGGGGAAAGCAGGGGAUCUUCGGACCUUGCGCUAAUAGAUGAGCCUAAGUCAGAUUAGCUAGUUGGUGGGGUAAAGGCCUACCAAGGCGACGAUCUGUAGCGGGUCUGAGAGGAUGAUCCGCCACACUGGGACUGAGACACGGCCCAGACUCCUACGGGAGGCAGCAGUGGGGAAUAUUGGACAAUGGGCGAAAGCCUGAUCCAGCCAUGCCGCGUGUGUGAAGAAGGCCUUUUGGUUGUAAAGCACUUUAAGCGAGGAGGAGGCUACUUGGAUUAAUACUCUAGGAUAGUGGACGUUACUCGCAGAAUAAGCACCGGCUAACUCUGUGCCAGCAGCCGCGGUAAUACAGAGGGUGCGAGCGUUAAUCGGGAUUUACUGGGCGUAAAGCGUGCGUAGGCGGCUUUUUAAGUCGGAUGUGAAAUCCCUGAGCUUAACUUAGGAAAUUGCAUUCGAUACUGGGAAGCUAGAGUAUGGGAGAGGAUGGUAGAAUUCCAGGUGUAGCGGGUGAAAUGCGUAGAGAUCUGGAGGAAUACCGAUGGCGAAGGCAGCCAUCUGGCCUAAUACUGACGCUGAGGUACGAAAGCAUGGGGAGCAAACAGGAUUAGAUACCCUGGUAGUCCAUGCCGUAAACGAUGUCUACUACCCGUUGGGGCCUUUUGAGGCUUUUAUUGGCGCACUAACGCGAUAAUAGACCGCCUGGGGGAGUACGGGCGCAAGACUAAAACUCAAAAUGGAAUUGACGGGGGGCC